AACGAACGCUGGCGGCAUGCCUAACACAUGCAAGUCGAACGAAGUCUUCGGACUUAGUGGCGCACGGGUGCGUAACGCGUGGGAAUCUGCCCUUGGGUGCGGAAUAACUUCUCGAAAGGGAUGCUAAUACCGCAUAAUGUCGUAAGACCAAAGAUUUAUCGCCCAAGGAUGAGCCCGCGUAAGAUUAGCUAGUUGGUGGGGUAAAAGCCUACCAAGGCGACGAUCUUUAGCUGGUCUGAGAGGAUGAUCAGCCACACUGGGACUGAGACACGGCCCAGACUCCUACGGGAGGCAGCAGUGGGGAAUAUUGGACAAUGGGCGAAAGCCUGAUCCAGCAAUGCCGCGUGAGUGAUGAAGGCCUUAGGGUUGUAAAGCUCUUUUGCCAGGGAAGAUGAUGACUGUACCUGGAGAAUAAGCCCCGGCUAACUUCGUGCCAGCAGCCGCGGUAAU
rnacentral:rRNA from 1 species